CCCGCUGAACUUAAGCAUAUCAAUAAGCGGAGGAAAAGAAACUAACAAGGAUUCCCCUAGUAACUGCGAGUGAAGCGGGAAAAGCUCAAAUUUAAAAUCUGGUGGCCUCUGGUCAUCCGAGUUGUAAUUUAGAGAAGCGUCUUCCGCGCUGGACCAUGCACAAGUCUCCUGGAAUGGAGCGUCAUAGAGGGUGAGAAUCCCGUCUUUGGCAUGGAUGCACCAGGGCUUCUGUGAUGCGCUCUCAAAGAGUCGAGUUGUUUGGGAAUGCAGCUCAAAAUGGGUGGUAAAUUCCAUCUAAAGCUAAAUAUUGGCGAGAGACCGAUAGCGAACAAGUACCGUGAGGGAAAGAUGAAAAGAACUUUGGAAAGAGAGUUAAACAGUACGUGAAAUUGUUGAAAGGGAAACGCUUGAAGUCAGUCACGUUGGCCAGAAAUCAACUUGUAACAGGGCGUAAUUUCUGGUUUUACGGGUCAACAUCAAUUUUGAUUGUUGGAUAAAAGUCAAUAUUUAUGCGUUUUCGGACGUGUAGCCUUUGAUUGCAUACAAUGGUUGGGAUUGAGGAACUCAGCACGCCGCAAGGCCGGGUAACUUGUUACCACGUAACGUGCUUAGGAUGUUGGCAUAAUGGCUUUAAUCGACCCGUCUUGAAACACGG
rnacentral:rRNA from 1 species